UUUGACUGUUGCAACAGAACAAAGUUCACAUCAUCAACAACAACAGAGGGUGUAUUUCUACCAAUGAGAGAGACAGGUAGGAAAGAAAGCUAAAGACAUUAAAGGAGAGACACAGAUAGAACCCCAACUUUUAGCUCUGUCAAACCGACUUUUCUCCCUGAGGAAGUAUUCUGUGGAUUAGUGAAACCUGAUGUGACACAACCACAUCGAGUGGAUUCCAAAACGUUUAAGUCUUGAAGUUAUGUGACUUCAGUACGGACGGACAACUGCCAGGACAACUAUGUAGCAGCAGACAUCUGCAAGUAAUUUCCACCUACUUCCAUUCAACCCUGCCUUUUUGAGGAUCCUGAAAAAAUUAUGGAGGUGCUGAGUGGCCCCUGGGCGGAUUUGGCCCUGCUCCUUCGACAGACCGUCACACAGACAGAUAGAGAGACGGACAGCUUUCUUCCUCUCUGGCUGUUUGGCCUGCUGCUGUUCCUGUCGGUCUCUCUGCUGCUGCUGCAAUUGAUUAUCUACCUCAGCUGGAAACUCAGACAGGUUGAGGCUGAGCUUUCGGAGUUUCCGCGAGACAGCAGCGCCAUCUACAGGAAGAGCAGGAGCGUUGGCUCGCACUCUCACACCUGACAGGACACGGGCACACGCACACACACACACUUCAUCAACAGACCAGAUCGAAGAGACACUUAAAACCUGCUGAAAUGAACACUUGUGUGAUUGUUUCAGGCAGUCCUGCCAGUAAACAUGAGUAUCUCUUUAGAGCAAUGGGACCAAUAUUUCAGACAUAAUGAAGGUGCCUUAAGAAGAUAAAUGUUAAAGCUUGCAA